ACUAUUAAAACUAUCUACUACACAAGGGUCAUUAAGACUACUACAUGAGGAUCAUUAAGACUAUCUAUAAUACGGGUCAUUACUAGGAAUAAAGUAAAAUUGCACGUGUGUUAGCUAAAAAAAAAUAAAAAAUCAUUCCCCUCCCUUUCUGAAGCUACAUUCAUUAGGCACCGUUUGGCACUUUUCUUGAACUGGUUCAUGCUAUGACUGGCUUUGACAUGUGCAGGCAGUCUGAUCCAUUCCUUUAUUGCUGUACAAUAAAAGGUGUUUGAAGUCUGGCCAAUGACUGUGGCUACUACAAAAUUGGCAACAAGAUAUUCUGGACACUGUGAGUAAUUUUAUAAACUUGAUUUAACUUCAGUUGUUUUACUCUGUCUUCAACAUUCAGGAUAUCCAACUGCUGUAAUUCAUCCUGGCCUACAUGUGCUCUUGGUCCCAGGUCCAGGAUGAAUCUUACCAUUUUGUUCUGGGUGAUUUGCAGUCUAUCUUUCAUUUUUUUUUUUUUCGUCAAGGCAGAGUAUCAUGAAGAGCAAGUGUAAUCCAUAUGACACUGUUAUAUGUACAGUUAUAGAGGCUAAAACGUUGUGUAGUUUUAAAAAUAGGUUAGAUAAAUACAUGAGUGGGUGUGAGUUGGACCUGACUAGCUUGUGCUACUAGGUCAAUUGCCGUGUUCCUUCCUUAUGUGAAUGUGACCUGACAUGACUUGACUAGGUUGGGGCAUUGGCUUAAGCCGAUAGGAGACUUGGACCUGCCUCGCAUGAGCCAGUAGGCCUUCUGGAGUGUUCCAUCUUUCUUAUGUUCUUAUGUAUAAGGGCUAGACAAAGGGUCCUGCGAGUCUCAGUAGGUAGACAUUGUGCUUGUCUAUAGAGGAAUUUCAGUCUGGUGACUUAUUUCCAUUGUACAUCUAAAUAAAUAUCAGAAUUCUAUCAUUUAAUUACAAAUUUGAUUAAAAACGUAUUUUCAUGCUAAUAAAUUUAAAUAUAAAAAGUGAAGAGGUAAUGACUGAUGAAAGAACCAUAUGUGUGAGGGAGGGACGCCAGGGAGGAUAGUGACUCAGGUGGUCUUCUUGCCCCAGACACCGUCCAGGAAGAUGUCGGGCAAUUUGGAUAAAGCAAGAAUGAGCAAGCUGGCAGACUUUAAGAUAAGGAGCAGUGAAUUUAAAGCUUGGGAGAAGGCUAAAUUAAAAAUAAGGUUGCAGAGGAACUGCUUGACUGAAGCUUUAGAUGAGAUGGUGAAUUAAUUCUCCAUGUAUUGGAUAUUGGAGGAUAAUUAUUGUAUCAAUGUUGAUGGAAUUCCAACAAUAUUACGUAAAAGGACACAAGUGUAACUAACGAGACUUUUUAUUGUGGCAACGUUUCGCUCUCCAGGAGCUUUAUCGAGCCAUUACAAACAAUACAUGGACACAGAGGGUGUCACUGCUGAUAAUACUGCACAAGAACAUAACAGGAGGAACACUGAAACGAGCCUUCUCAAAUCCAACCAGUAACAGAAAUAUUUGUCUAACCUAUUUUUAUGCUACCCAAGUAACAGCUUUUAUAACAUUUUACCGUGUGCAAGUUGAUUGCUCUACCACAUAGUAUUACUACUACUACUACUACUACUACUACUGCUGCUACUACUACCACUCGUAUUUCACCUCACUCUAAGCCUAUAUGUACCCUCCGUUUCCAUGUAUUGUUUGUAACGGCUUGAUAAAGCUCCUGGAGAGUGAAACAUUGCCACGAUAAAAUGUCACGUUAGUUGCAAUUGUCCUUUUACCUAAAAGGAUAAUUGUUGCUCAGCAAGAUGGGCAUUUCCAAUUAAUGCCAAGAUGCUUCGUGGGGUAGUUUAUAAAAUGCUUCAGGAGGCAUUCUGGACAAGGACUGGUUCAGUUGAAACCAGCACAGAUUAUAGAGCAGUGAACCUUCUGAGCUGAAGUCCACAUUUAACUUCAAUGGCGUGCUUCUAAAUUUCUUAUUGAAGCAGGAUGAAUUUGGCAAGUAGAAGAGGAAUUUUUGAUGCUGCGGUGCUGCUAAACUUUGUUACAUACUGAGCAAAAGUGGCUAAUUUUUUUUUUUCAUACAGCACAAAAACCAGACUUACCUGUCCAUGUCCACUCAUCAAUCAAAACAAAUGCUACACACUUCUUCAACUGCAAACAUAACCAGGCUCCUUCAGCUGGUGAGGACACUGACUGGACACACCUUGUGCUCAGUAUUGUCGAACAAGAGAAGUCUGCUGCAAAAACAGUGGAUCCAUGGAGGACUGUGUAACCUAUAGAAAACAGGUUUAACAAUUAUAAUUAAAAAAGAUUGAUGGAAAUACCACACUGUACCAAGCAUAUUAAAAUAAAAAAUUACCUAUUC